GUGCUCGCUUCGGCAGCACACAUUCAAAAACUGGAAACAAUACAGAGAAGAUUAGCAUGGCCCCUGUGCAAGGAUGACACCCAAACUUAUCUCCUACAGUCCAAUUUA